rnacentral:ncRNA from 1 species
AUGCUGGUUUUAUAUGAAAUUAAAAAGGAAGAUGGAUGAAAUUUCCACACAGUGCCGCUACUGUAAUUAAGGAGUGCUAACUUACUAUGCCACUGAAUUUAUAAUUUGGGAAGGCUAGUUAGUGCGAUGAUUUAUAAGUCAGGAGACUUGCCAGUAUUAAA